AACGAACGCUGGCGGCAUGCCUAACACAUGCAAGUCGAACGAGACCUUCGGGUCUAGUGGCGCACGGGUACGUAACGCGUGGGAACUUGCCCUUAAGUUAGGAAUAACUCCCCGUAAGGGAUGCUAAUACCGGAUAAUGUCUUCGGACCAAAGAUUUAUCGCCGUUGGAUGGGCGCGGGUUGGAUUCGCCAGUUGGUAGGGUAAAAGCCUACCAAGGCGCCGAUCCAUAGCUGGUUGGAGAGGAUGGUCAGCGACGCUGGGACUGCGGCACGGCCCAGAGGUGGAGGGGAGGCAGGAGUAGGUGAUAUUGGAAAAUGGGCGAAAGCAUAAUCGAGCAAUGCCGGGUGAGUGAUGAAGGCCUUAGGGAUGUAAAGCCCUUUUAGCCGAGAUGAUAAUGACAGUACCGGGAGAAUAAGCUCCGGCUAACUCCGUG
rnacentral:rRNA from 1 species